ACACCCAACUUCUGAAAUGUUGACCUCGGAUCAGGUAGGAAUACCCGCUGAACUUAAGCAUAUCAAUAAGCGGAGGAAAAGAAACCAACAGGGAUUGCCCCAGUAACGGCGAGUGAAGCGGCAACAGCUCAAAUUUGAAAUCUGGCCCCUAGGGUCCGAGUUGUAAUUUGUAGAGGAUGCUUUUGGUGAGGUGCCGCCCGAGUUCCCUGGAACGGGACGCCGCAGAGGGUGAGAGCCCCGUCUGGCUGGCCACCGAGCCUCUGUAAAGCUCCUUCGACGAGUCGAGUAGUUUGGGAAUGCUGCUCAAAAUGGGAGGUAUAUGUCUUCUAAAGCUAAAUAUUGGCCAGAGACCGAUAGCGCACAAGUAGAGUGAUCGAAAGAUGAAAAGCACCUUGAAAAGAGGGUUAAACAGUACGUGAAAUUGUUGAAAGGGAAGCGCUUGUGACCAGACUUGGGCGCGGCGAAUCAUCCGGGGUUCUCUCCGGUGCACUUCGCCGUGUUCAGGCCAGCAUCAGUUCGGCGCGGGGGAAAAAGGCUUCGGGAACGUGGCUGCUCCGGCAGUGUUAUAGCCCGUUGCAUAAUACCCUGCGCUGGACUGAGGACCGCGCAUCUGCAAGGAUGCUGGCGUAAUGGUCACCAGCGACCCGUCUUGA
rnacentral:rRNA from 1 species